UUGAACGCUGGCGGCAUGCCUUACACAUGCAAGUCGAACGGCAGCAUGAUCUAGCUUGCUAGAUUGAUGGCGAGUGGCGAACGGGUGAGUAAUACAUCGGAACGUGCCCUGUAGUGGGGGAUAACUAGUCGAAAGAUUAGCUAAUACCGCAUACGACCUGAGGGUGAAAGUGGGGGACCGCAAGGCCUCAUGCUAUAGGAGCGGCCGAUGUCUGAUUAGCUAGUUGGUGAGGUAAAGGCUCACCAAGGCGACGAUCAGUAGCUGGUCUGAGAGGACGAUCAGCCACACUGGGACUGAGACACGGCCCAGACCCCUACGGGAGGCAGCAGUGGGGAAUUUUGGACAAUGGGCGAAAGCCUGAUCUAGCAAUGCCGCGUGUGUGAAGAAGGCCUUCGGGUUGUAAAGCACUUUUGUCCGGAAAGAAAUGGCUCUGGUUAAUACCUGGGGUCGAUGACGGUACCGGAAGAAUAAGGACCGGCUAACUACGUG
rnacentral:rRNA from 1 species